rnacentral:rRNA from 1 species
ACCUAGGAAUCUGCCUGGUAGUGGGGGACAACGUUUCGAAAGGAACGCUAAUACCGCAUACGUCCUACGGGAGAAAGCAGGGGACCUUCGGGCCUUGCGCUAUCAGAUGAGCCUAGGUCGGAUUAGCUUGUUGGUGAGGUAAUGGCUCACCAAGGCGAC